rnacentral:rRNA from 1 species
UACGGAGGGUGCAAGCGUUGUCCGGAAUUAUUGGGCGUAAAGAGCUCGUAGGCGGUUUGUCACGUCUGCUGUGAAAUCCCGAGGCUCAACCUCGGGCCUGCAGUGGGUACGGGCAGACUGGAGUGCGGUAGGGGAGAAUGGAAUUCCUGGUGUAGCGGUGGAAUGCGCAGAUAUCAGGAGGAACACCGAUGGCGAAGGCAGUUCUCUGGGCCGUAACUGACGCUGAGGAGCGAAAGCGUGGGGAGCGAACAGG